UCUGGAAAUCAGCUGACCAUCCCGGAUGUUCAGGCCUCCACCUUUUCCUGUCAGAGCACAAUAGAUCACCAGAGGCCGGUGGCGUGAGGUGACACUAUCUCAGGGACCAGGAUUGGAGCAGACUGAUCGCAGCUCUCGCUCCUGCCCAGCCCACCAUGGUUCCUGUGACAUGCUUCGCACUCUUCGUCAUAGGCAUUGCAAUUGUAGCCAUAGCAAUGACUCAGACCAGGAAUUACUCUGUGAAUGCCGAUAUGGUGUUUGUUGCGCGUGCAGAUGGUGAUCGUGAGGGGAGAAAUACGCCCUGCACCCAAGCUGCAGCCGUUGCCUUGAGGAUCAGAGGAAAUGCUGGUUACAAUGGCCAGGGAAGAGAAGUGGAUGUCCUUCCUUCCAAGUAGCCUGCUUCAUGUCUUCCACAGCAUGAACUGGGAAGCCGCAUUGACCAGCAGCUGCCACUUUAACAGAUUUGCAUGGCCUUAAGCAAUAAAUGCUUCAGAAAGCUUGAAUAAAAGUGCAUUGAUGA